GAUGAAGAACGUUAGCGAAAUGCGAUAAGUAGUGUGAAUUGCAGAAUUCAGUGAAUCAUCGAAUCUUUGAACGCACAUUGCGCCCCUUGGUAUCCCGAGGGGCAUGCCUGUUCGAGCGUCAUUUCACCACUCAAGCCUGGCUUGGUGUUGGGCGACGUCCUCUUUGGGGACGCGCCUCGAAACGCUCGGCGGCGUGGCACCGGCUUUAAGCGUAGCAGAAUCUUUCGCUUUGGAAGUCGGGGCCCCGUCUGCCGGAAGACCUGCUCGCAAGGUUGACCUCGGAUCAGGCAGGGAUACCCGCUGAACUUAAGCAUAUCAAUAAGCGGAGGA
rnacentral:misc_RNA from 1 species